AUCAGCAUAACAAAUAUCUAGACCAUGAACUACCAGUCUCAUUUUAUUAGUAUAAAUGAGAAUGCUCCUUGCUUGGUUUAAUCACAAACGAGAAUAGAAACAAGGGCAUGAUGAUGGCAUGUUCGUUUUAUUAGGAAUCAUGACCAGUUUUUUGAUUAAUGGAUAGGAGGAAUACAGGAAUUGCUGCAAUUUUACAUGACAAAUGCUACAAAAACUUCAUUGUAUGUGCUAGCAUACCCUGGUUUUCUUGUAUCCUGGUAUACAGCCAGGCAUUGUUGCACUUCUUUUAGAGAACCAUACCUGGUGAGCUUUUAGCAAUGUAUUAUACGUCACCUGAAGAAGGUAAAAGACCAUUGGUGAUUUAUUCAAGCUAAAUUGAAUUUGCAGUAGCUUAA
rnacentral:misc_RNA from 1 species